GACGAACGCUGGCGGCGUGCUUAAAAAAUGCAAGUGGAAGGGAAGGGCCCUGCUUUUGUGGGGUGCUCGGGUGGCAAACGGGUGGGUAACACGGGGGUAACCUGCCCUUGACUUGGGGAUAACUUCAGGAAACUGGGGCUAAUACCGGAUAGGAGCUCCGGCUGCAUGGUGGGGGUGGGAAAGUUUCGGCGGUUGGGGAUGGACUCGCGGCUUAUCAGCUUGUUGGUGGGGUAGUGGCUUACCAAGGCUUUGACGGGUAGCCGGCCUGAGAGGGUGACCGGCCACAUUGGGACUGAGAUACGGCCCAGACUCCUACGGGAGGCAGCAGUGGGGAAUAUUGCACAAUGGGCGGAAGCCUGAUGCAGCAACGCCGCGUGCGGGAUGACGGCCUUCGGGUUGUAAACCGCUUUCGCCUGUGACGAAGCGUGAGUGACGGUAAUGGGUAAAGAAGCACCGGCUAACUACGUG
rnacentral:rRNA from 1 species